rnacentral:rRNA from 1 species
GGGUUGUGAGGUUAAGCGACUAAGCGUACACGGUGGAUGCCCUGGCAGUCAGAGGCGAUGAAGGGCGUGCUAAUCUGCGAUAAGCGCCGGUAAGGUGAUAUGAACCGUUAUAACCGGCGAUACCCGAAUGGGGAAACCCAGUGUGAUUCGUCACACUAUCAUUAACUGAAUCCAUAGGUUAAUGAGGCGAACCGGGGGAACUGAAACAUCUAAGUACCCCGAGGAAAAGAAAUCAACCGAGAUUCCCCCAGUAGCGGCGAGCGAACGGGGAGGAGCCCAGAGCCUGAAUCAGCAUGUGUGUUAGUGGAAGCGUCUGGAAAGGCGCGCGAUACAGGGUGACAGCCCCGUACACAAAAGCGCAUGUGCUGUGAGCUCGAUGAGUAGGGCGGGACACGUGGUAUCCUGUCUGAAUAUGGGGGGACCAUCCUCCAAGGCUAAAUACUCCUGACUGACCGAUAGUGAACCAGUACCGUGAGGGAAAGGCGAAAAGAACCCCGGCGAGGGGAGUGAAAAAGAACCUGAAACCGUGUACGUACAAGCAGUGGGAGCACAGGUUUACCUGUGUGACUGCGUACCUUUUGUAUAAUGGGUCAGCGACUUAUAUUCUGUAGCAAGGUUAACCGAAUAGGGGAGCCGGAGGGAAACCGAGUCUUAAUUGGGCGUUAAGUUGCAGGGUAUAGACCCGAAACCCGGUGAUCUAGCCAUGGGCAGGUUGAAGGUUGGGUAACACUAACUGGAGGACCGAACCGACUAAUGUUGAAAAAUUAGCGGAUGACCUGUGGCUGGGGGUGAAAGGCCAAUCAAACCGGGAGAUAGCUGGUUCUCCCCGAAAGCUAUUUAGGUAGCGCCUCGUGAAUUCAUCUCCGGGGGUAGAGCACUGUUUCGGCUAGGGGGCCAUCCCGGCUUACCAACCCGAUGCAAACUGCGAAUACCGGAGAAUGUUAUCACGGGAGACACACGGCGGGUGCUAACGUCCGUCGUGAAGAGGGAAACAACCCAGACCGCCAGCUAAGGUCCCAAAGUCAUGGUUAAGUGGGAAACGAUGUGGGAAGGCCCAGACAGCCAGGAUGUUGGCUUAGAAGCAGCCAUCAUUUAAAGAAAGCGUAAUAGCUCACUGGUCGAGUCGGCCUGCGCGGAAGAUGUAACGGGGCUAAACCAUGCACCGAAGCUGCGGCAGCGACGCUGAUGCGUUGUUGGGUAGGGGAGCGUUCUGUAAGCCUGCGAAGGUGGCCUGUGAGGGUUGCUGGAGGUAUCAGAAGUGCGAAUGCUGACAUAAGUAACGAUAAAGCGGGUGAAAAGCCCGCUCGCCGGAAGACCAAGGGUUCCUGUCCAACGUUAAUCGGGGCAGGGUGAGUCGACCCCUAAGGCGAGGCCGAAAGGCGUAGUCGAUGGGAAACGGGUUAAUAUUCCCGUACUUGGUGUUACUGCGAAGGGGGGACGGAGAAGGCUAUGUUGGCCGGGCGACGGUUGUCCCGGUUUAAGCGUGUAGGCUGGUUUUCCAGGCAAAUCCGGAAAAUCAAGGCUGAGGCGU